rnacentral:lncRNA from 1 species
AGACUUCGAUGUCCAAGAGUUGUUUCAGGCACAGCCCCUCUAUGAGGUCGGUAAAUCCGGAGGCCAGCUGAUGGUGCAGGGCCAACAUGCCUGGGACCUAACUCAAAACCAGGCUGUGCUGGGAUAGCAACACCACGUGAAGGAUUUAUUGGAACUCUAAAUGAUGCUGCACUUACUGCAGGGUGAAAGUUGAUAUUGUGGCCUCUUACUCCUUGCAUAGGCAGUGCUGGGUGAUGAUAAUUGUGGUGCUGUUGGUUGACAGGAAGAGGGUGAGGAAACCUGAGGCCAUUUCGGCUUCCAGCUGGAUCAUGAUAUCUCUGCAAGCCCAUACUUGCACUAUCUAAUGAACCUCCAUUUACAGUAGGUCCUGAAAAUAAUAUGGAGACAGUCAGACAGCCUAAACUCAUAACCAAACCAACACAACAAAUUCAAAGAAAAAUUUGAGCACUUCGUUUGGCCCUUAAUUGACAGGAUGGGAGACAACACAUACACACAAAAACACCAAUGCAUUAACUCCGGUCUUAGGCACAAACUGAGAGUUAUUAAAACAAGAUUUCUCAUAAAUUUAUUGCCUGAUUGAAAAACAACAUUCAAGAAGCUGUAAUUAACACUUUUUCAUGAUGAAACCUGAAAGAGCUUUGCAAAUUAUACACUAACAGAACAUCCAAGUAAUGAACUAAUGAUAGUAAAUCACUAAAGGAAGAACCACAGAACACAUGAAGAGGGCAAAAUUACCUUGUACAUAAGGCAUUGGAAGCGACUGAUUCCAGGGUGUAGUAUGGCCAUCAUUAUUGUUACCGUUCAUCUGCUGGUCCAACCACGGAGGAGCAGCUGGCUGAAAGUGCUGUCCUAAAUAAUUUCCAUGAAUCAAAUGAUUAUGGUCAUGCACCAUAAUGGACUCACCUGCCCUGCUCCAUGCACUACCAUGUGGUCCUACUUCCACAAGUGAAGGGAUGCGGAAUGAAAAUGG